rnacentral:rRNA from 1 species
CAAGUCGAGGGGUAUAGUAGCAAUACUAGAGACCGGCGCACGGGUGCGUAACGCGUAUGCAAUCUACCUUUUGCAGAGGGAUAGCCCAGAGAAAUUUGGAUUAAUACCUCAUAGCAUAGUGAUACCGCAUGGUACUACUAUUAAAGUCACAACGGCAAAAGAUGAGCAUGCGUCCCAUUAGCUAGUUGGUAAGGUAACGGCUUACCAAGGCCACGAUGGGUAGGGGUCCUGAGAGGGAGAUCCCCCACACUGGUACUGAGACACGGACCAGACUCCUACGGGAGGCAGCAGUGAGGAAUAUUGGACAAUGGGCGCAAGCCUGAUCCAGCCAUGCCGCGUGCAGGAUGACGGUCCUAUGGAUUGUAAACUGCUUUUAUACGAGAAGAAACAUCCCGACGUGUCGGGACUUGACGGUAUCGUAAGAAUAAGGAUCGGCUAACUCCGUGCCAGCAGCCGCGGUAAUACGGAGGAUCCAAGCGUUAUCCGGAAUCAUUGGGUUUAAAGGGUCCGUAGGCGGUCUUAUAAGUCAGUGGUGAAAUCUCCCCGCUCAACGGGGAAACGGCCAUUGAUACUGUAGGACUUGAAUUAUUAGGAAGUAACUAGAAUAUGUAGUGUAGCGGUGAAAUGCUUAGAGAUUACAUGGAAUACCAAUUGCGAAGGCAGGUUACUACUAAUGGAUUGACGCUGAUGGACGAAAGCGUGGGUAGCGAACAGGAUUAGAUACCCUGGUAGUCCACGCCGUAAACGAUGGAUACUAGCUGUUGGGAGUAAUCUCAGUGGCUAAGCGAAAGUGAUAAGUAUCCCACCUGGGGAGUACGUUCGCAAGAAUGAAACUCAAAGGAAUUGACGG